rnacentral:rRNA from 1 species
UUAAAUUAAUAAGGGCGUAUGGUGAAUGCCUAGGCAUUAGAAGCUGAAGAAGGACGUGGCAAACUACGAAAUGCUUCGGGGAGCUGUAAGCAAGCUUUGAUCCGGAGAUAUCCGAAUGAGGGAACUCACCAACAGUAAUACGUUGGUAUCACAUAAUGAACACAUAGUUAUGUAGAGAACAACCCUGUGAACUGAAACAUCUAAGUAACAGGAGGAAAAGAAAGAAAAAUCGAUUACCUUAGUAGUGGCGAGCGAAACGGUAAGAGCCCAAACCAAUCUAAGGAUUGGGGUUGUAGGACACUUUGUUAGGAGUUACAAAAUUGCUUGAUAGCAGAAUAUUCUGGAAAGGAUAGCUGGAAAACGUGAAAGCCGUGUAUGCGAAAUCAUGCAAUCUCUAAAGUGUAUCCUGAGUACGACGAUACACGAGAAAUUUUGUCGGAAUCCGCGGGGACCAUCCCGCAAGGCUAAAUACUUUCUAAUGACCGAUAGUGAACAAGUACCGUGAGGGAAAGGUGAAAAGAACCCCGGGAGGGGAGUGAAAUAGAAUACUGAAACCAUAUGCUUACAAAAAGUUCGAGCGCGUUAAUGCGUGAGAGCGUGCCUUUUGCAGAAUGAGCCGGCGAGUUAUGGUAUUGUGCAAGGUUAAGUGGAAAACACGGAGCCGAAGCGAAAGCGAGUCUUAAUAGGGCGAAUAAGUACAAUGCUGUAGACCCGAAACCGAGUGAUCUAGCCAUGAGCAGGCUGAAGUAAGGGUGAAACCUUAUGGAGGGCCGAACCAGGACACGUUGUAAAGUGUUUGGAUGACUUGUGGCUAGCGGUGAAAUUCCAAUCGAACUCGGAUAUAGCUGGUUCUCCCCGAAAUAGGUUUAGGCCUAGCCUUGAAUAAUUGCUACCUGGAGGUAGAGCACUGAAUGUGGAAUGGCUUCGUCUAGAGGUACUGACUGCAAUCAAUCUCCGAAUGCCAGGCAAGUAGAUUCAGGAGUCAGUGUAUGAGGUGAUAACGUCCAUACGCGAAAGGAAAUCAAUCCAGAUCAUCAACUAAGGUCCCAAAAUAUAUGUUAAGUGGGAAAGGAUGUGGAGACGCACGAACAGCUAGGAGGUUGGCUCAGAAGCAGCCAUCCUUUAAAGAGUGCGUAAUAGCUCACUAGUCGAGUGUCUCUGCGCCGAAAAUGUACCGGGGCUAAAACAUAUUACCGAAGUUAUGAAUUUAUAUUUAAUAUAGAUGGUAGGGGAGCGUUCUAAGGGCGCUGAAGGUAGACCGUGAGGACUACUGGAGCGCUUAGAAGUGAGAAUGCCGGUGUGAGUAACGCUAGGAGGGUGAGAAUCCCUCCCACCAAUUGACUAAGGGUUCCAGGGUACGGUUCGUCUUCCCUGGGUUAGUCAGGACCUAAGCCGAGGCCGAAAGGCGUAGGCGAUGGACAACAGGUUUAUAUUCCUGUACUGGCUAUAUGACUGAUGGAGCGACGGAGAAAGCAAGUAAGAGCCUAUUAUUGGAUUUAGGUCUAAGCACAAAGAGUGAUGCGUAAGUAAAUCUGCGACAUUAUUAAACUUGAAGUGCGAUGGCGAAGGGUCCCACGGGAACCAAAGUCUUAUGCAGCUAUGCUUCCAAGAAAAACUUCUAAAGAUAUCAUAUAGUUACCUGUACCAAGUACCGACACAGGUGGUCAAGGAGAGUAUCCUAAGGUGAGCGAGAUAACCAUGGGUUAAGGAACUCGGCAAAAUUGCCCUGUAACUUCGGGAUAAAGGGAGGUCUCUUCGGAGACCCACAGAAAAAAGGCCCAAGCAACUGUUUACCAAAAACAUAGGUCUCUGCUAAAGCGAAAGCUGAUGUAUAGGGGCUGACGCCUGCCCAGUGCUGGAAGGUUAAGAGGAUAGGUUAGAUGGACGCAAGUCGAUAACAUCAAAGCCUUGAAUUGAAGCCCCAGUGAACGGCGGCCGUAACUAUAACGGUCCUAAGGUAGCGAAAUUCCUUGUCAGGUAAGUUCUGACCCGCACGAAAGGCGUAAUGAUUUGGGCGCUGUCUCAACCAUGGACUCGGUGAAAUCUUAAUACCUGUGAAAAUGCAGGUUACCCGCGACAGGACGGAAAGACCCCAUGGAGCUUUACUGUAGCUUGAUAUUGUGAUCAGGUAAUGUAUGUAGAGGAUAGGUGGUAGACUAUGAAGUAUGGACGCUAGUUCAUGCAGAGUCGCCCUUGGAAUACCACCCUUACGUUGCUUGAUUACUAACUUAUUCCCGUGAUCCGGGAAGAGGACAGUGUCUGGUGGGCAGUUUGACUGGGGCGGUC